rnacentral:rRNA from 1 species
GACGAACGCUGGCGGCGUGCUUAACACAUGCAAGUCGAACGGUAAGGCCCCUUCGGGGGUACACGAGUGGCGAACGGGUGAGUAACACGUGAGCAACCUGCCCUUGACUCUGGGAUAACAGUUGGAAACAGCUGCUAUACCGGAUACGACCUUCGAUGACAUCAUCUGGAGGUGGAAAGCGCUUUAGCGGUCAAGGAUGGGCUCGCGGCCUAUCAGCUUGUUGGUGAGGUAACGGCUCACCAAGGCUUCGACGGGUAGCCGGCCUGAGAGGGCGACCGGCCGCACUGGGACUGGGAUACGGCCCAGACUCCUACGGGAGGCAGCAGUGGGGAAUAUUGCACAAUGGGCGCAAGCCUGAUGCAGCAACGCCGCGUGCGGGAUGACGGCCUUCGGGUUGUAAACCGCUUUCAGUUCCGACGAAGCGCAAGUGACGGUAGGAACAGAAGAAGGACCGGCCAACUACGUGCCAGCCGCCGCGGUAA